rfam:Erinaceus europaeus unplaced genomic scaffold scaffold00827, whole genome shotgun sequence
GGAUGUGAGGGCGAUCUGACUGUGACAUCUGUCACCCCAUUGAUUGCCAGGGUUGAUUCAGCUGAUCUGUCUGGCUAAGCGGGUAUCCCCUUCCUCCCUCACCACUCCAUGUGCGUCCCUCUCGAAGCUGCAUGCUCAGUUGAAGAGGACAGUCUUCCCCUAAUAGAGAAGGAGUGGCCUUCAGUCAAGGGUAUACAAGAAGCUGUGCUCCCCUGCUAGAACCUCCAAACAAGCUCUCAUAUGUGACACUGCAAGGCUGCCUCCCCAACUCAAUUUCUAUUGUUUUUUGUU